rnacentral:rRNA from 1 species
GUCGAGCGGAUGAAAAGGAGCUUGCUCCUUGGAUUCAACGGCGGACGGGUGAGUAACACGUGGGCAACCUGCCUGUAAGACUGGGAUAACUUCGGGAAACCGGAGCUAAUACCGGAUAACUCUUCGAACCUCAUGGUUCGAAGAUAAAAGAUGGUUUCGGCUAUCACUUACAGAUGGGCCCGCGGCGCAUUAGCUAGUUGGUGAGGUAACGGCUCACCAAGGCGACGAUGCGUAGCCGACCUGAGAGGGUGAUCGGCCACACUGGGACUGAGACACGGCCCAGACUCCUACGGGAGGCAGCAGUAGGGAAUCUUCCGCAAUGGACGAAAGUCUGACGGAGCAACGCCGCGUGAGCGAUGAAGGCCUUCGGGUCGUAAAGCUCUGUUGUUAGGGAAGAACAAGUACCAGUUAACUGCUGGUACCAUGACGGUACCUAACCAGAAAGCCACGGCUAACUACGUGCCAGCAGCCGCGGUAAUACGUAGGUGGCAAGCGUUGUCCGGAUUUAUUGGGCGUAAAGCGCGCGCAGGCGGUUCUUUAAGUCUGAUGUGAAAGCCCCCGGCUCAACCGGGGAGGGUCAUUGGAAACUGGGGAACUUGAGUGCAGAAGAGGAGAGCGGAAUUCCACGUGUAGCGGUGAAAUGCGUAGAGAUGUGGAGGAACACCAGUGGCGAAGG